rnacentral:rRNA from 1 species
GACAGAGGUGCCGAGCGUUAGGCGGAAUCACUGGGCUUAAAGCGUGUGUAGGCGGGUCGUUAAGUGUCUUGUGAAAUCCCCCGGCUCAACCGGGGAAUGGCUGGGCAUACUGGCGAUCUUGAGCAGUCUAGGGGCAGAUGGAACAAGUGGUGGAGCGGUGAAAUGCGUAGAUAUCACUUGGAACGCCAAAGGUGAAAACAGUCUGCUGGGGACUUGCUGACGCUGAGACAGAAAGCCAGGGGAGCGAACGGG